ACGACAAAGGCAAACCGCCCGAAAGGGCGGGGCGCAAAGCCUCUGGCCUAACCCCCGGGAACCCGGGAUAUGGCAGCAGGGCUGCCG
rnacentral:ncRNA from 1 species